ensembl:lncRNA
AUGCCUAAAACGUGGAGGCGUGUCUACCGCGUGUCUACCACUAUUUCUACCGCGUGUCUACCACUAUUUCUACCGCGUGUCUACCACUAUUUCUACCGCGUGUCUACCACUAUUUCUACCACUAUUUCUACCACGUGUCUACCACUAUUUCUACCGCGUGUCUACCACUAUUUCUACCACGUGUCUACCGCGUGUCUGCCACUAUUUCUACCGCGUGUCUACCACUAUUUCUACCGCGUGUCUACCGCGUGUCUGCCACUAUUUCUACCGCGUGUCUACCACUAUUUCUACCGCGUGUCUCCCACUAUUUCUACCGCGUGUCUACCACUAUUUCUACCGCGUGUCUACCACUAUUUCUACCACUUGUCUACCGCGUGUCUACCGCGUGUCUACCACUUGUCUACCGCGUGUCUACCGCGUGUCUACCGCGUGUCUACCGCGUGUCUACCACGUGUCUACCACUAUUUCUACCACUUGUCUACCGCGUGUCUACCACUAUUUCUACCGCGUGUCUACCGCGUGUCUACCACUAUUUCUACCGCGUGUCUACCACUAUUUCUACCGCGUGUCUACCACUAUUUCUACCGCGUGUCUACCACUAUUUCUACCGCGUGUCUACCACUAUUUCUACCACGUGUCUACCACUAUUUCUACCGCGUGUCUACCGCGUGUCUACCACUAUUUCUACCACGUGUCUACCGCGUGUCUACCGCGUGUCUACCGCGUGUCUACCGCGUGUCUACAGCGUGUCUACAGCGUGUCUACCGCGUGUCUACCGCGAAAAACACAGACUUUAUUCUCUGCUUUUCCGCACGCAGCGGGAGGGGAGGGGCUUCCCGUGCGCUCUCACCACCUGCUCCGCUCAGGUGAAAGCUCACGUGGACGCAGCUCCAAGCAGAAGCAAACAGCGCGUUAUUUCUUACGUAAUACAUUGAAUUCUAGCGGAGAGGUGUGCAGCGUCUGACCGUCCAAAUGAGACAUCGAUCAAGAGUUUGUGAAAAUUGGAAAUUAUCUGUUUUAUUAUAUUAAUUUGGUUAAUUUAUAUGAAGAAUUUGUGAUAUUGGUGAUUUCAGUGUGAAUUUACCAAUUAAAGAUAAUUCUGUUCAAUCAUAGAGUUGGGGAAAAUGUAUAAAUAAAUACAUUUUUCUAUAUUUUUAUCUUAAAUUUGUUAUAAAAUGACUGAAAAUGUAAGGUUUACAUGAAAUGAGAGUUCUUCUCAAGAUGUUUUUGCUCAUUAAGUGUGAAAUUAUUUUAGGAUUUUUUCAUUUAAAGGAUUCAUUUGCUGAUAAUCUUAUUAACUCCAAAGUUUCCGUCAUUUUUCUGGAAAUUAACAUAAAAACAUUCAGAUGUUUUAAAUCAGUUGAUGUUCAGUGAAGAACGACAGUUUCAGCCGUUUUACCUCGUUGGACCGGAAGCUCUUUCCCUGCAUGCCGUGUUUCCAGAAGACCAGGACGCUGUCCUGCAGGCACACUGCAGACAAACACAAGGACAUCAUCUCCAACGCUGUGAUCCACCACGAAAGAUGAAACAUCUGACAGAAACUUCCGGCUUCAGGAGCUUUGUCUGGUUUUCAGGAGCGACUGAAGGAAACCAGACGAAGGUUUAAAGCCUGAUUGCAGCGUUUCAGAAACGAAAGAGUCCCAGAUACGAACCCUGAGGUUCACCUUCAUGACAGCUCAAGUGUAUCGCGACAGAACAAACUUGUUCUCCCUGAAGACGAAGCUUUCAGUUUGUCUGACGUGAACUCUGGAGGGUUUCCCUGCAGAACAAAUGCAGUCGGACCAUCGAGAACUCAGAGGAGGUUCUGAAAACCACGUUUAUGUGAAGUAGAAACAUCAGAACCGAGCUUCAGGGAGGCGGAGCUUCUUCAUGGAUGACCGUCAGAGGACGAGCUGCUGAAACUUAGAGAGCAGCUGAUGGACCGUCGUGUUGCUAAACGAGAACAUCCAGAGAAGGAGACCUGAGAGACCGGUUCUGUUGGACAGCUCUGCAGAUGUGGGUCCAUGGAGGUCAUGAUCAGGGUCGGUUCGGUUCAGAGCAGGAACCAUCUACCAACCCAAAAGAAGCUUCUGCAAACGUGGAUCCAUUUCGGUGGUAAGUGGAACCAAAACUUAAACCAAAGAACCGCUUUGGCACCAGAACCGAAUCAAACCCAAUCGGUGCUCAAACCCCGGUCCCGACGGGUCCGACAUGGAGGUGAGCCUUCAGCAGCAGACCACGGAGGAAGAACUUCAGUGUUUCUCCAGCAGAAAGCAGAGCUUCAGUUUACUGAUCCUGAUGAGGACGAGGUCAGGCGUGCGGAGAAGACACGGGACGCCGGAGCUUCAGGUGUCUGUGAGGCUUGAACCUCUGCUGUGGAUCAGCGGGCAGCACAUAUGAAGCUGACAGAAAAUAAACUGGAUUUAAACGUUCAGAGAAGUGUCAAUAAGUUCAGUUUCAGGUGAAAACCUUCCCUGAUGACUGGUGGAGUCGGCCCGAGUCGGAUCAGACGGUACCGGAC